UUCCUUCCCCACCCCUCCCCACCCCCCUCCGCCUCCUCUUCCCCCCAAUCUAAAUGUGACUAGUUUUUAUUAUGGAAGAACACUGUGUUGAGAUACUCCGCUUCUAAUAGAUAGCUUUAGGUCGAGAGUCAGAGAUAAUUUUGUAUAGGUGUCAUAUACAACUAGUGCUGUGAUAGAUGGUCAGCCCUAACACCCACUACCGAACCUCGAACCCCUUAAUCCUAAACGAACCCCAGAACCCCGAAUUCUUUAUUAUUAUUAUAUUUUUUGUUUAAUCUGUGUACCGAACCCCGAACCCCUUGUGGAGAUAAGGGAAACCAUAAAUAAUGAAACUUGGCUAAUUUGAAGCUUGUUGAGGUUGAUAGUACUUAUGGCAGCUAAUAACAAUUUAUAGAAUUAUGUAUACAAUUUCACCCGGACUUGGGAAGUACAGUAUGAGUUUUAUUAAUUCCAGGUUGAAUUAAAUAACCCAGGUACCAUUAGAUUGUUCUAUACGGAGGUGUUGUAGAAGAUAGGUUUUGAGUCUCCUCUUAAGUUAGGUCCUUACCACCACAGGAUUUAUAUAGUAUAGUCGUUCUAGUUCUUGGUUAUGUUGGGGUUAUGUUGUUUAUCAGCUUCUUCAAACACAUUAUGUUAGGUUAGGUUAGGUGCCCCAGCUAAGCCCCACCCAAGCAUUAUAUGUGGGUUAGGUUAGGUUAGGUGCCCCAGCUAAGCCCCACCCAAGCAUUAUAUGUGGGUUAGGUUAGGUUAGGUGCCCCAGCUAAGCCCCACCCGAGCAUUAUAUGUGGGUUAGGUUAGGUUAGGUUAGAUGCCCCAACCAAGCAUUAUGUGUGCAUUAGGACGCAUUUUGCUGGAACAUUUUGAAAAAUGACUUUCAGAUGUGUUGUAUUUUAAGGUAGAUUGGACAAUACAAUUUCCUGUGUGUAGACUAAUUUGCUCCAUUGGAAUUCCUUAAAGCACUUCAAAACACUACGUCAACUUUGGAAGAUUGUUUCAAAGUUUCUGACGAAUAAACCUGCUAAAGAAUAAGUCUCUCAGGUCAGGGCGAAUAUUUGUCAGGAAAAUUUAUUGUGGAUAAUAAUAGUCGUAAAUGAUGUAAAUAUAAAGUUUUAGAAAAAUAAGGUUUCAUUAUUUAGAAUUAUGGCUCCAUUAUCUCUAUAAAAGGUUCGGGGUUCCGGGGUUUGGGGAUUCGGGGGUUCGGUAGUGGGUUUCAGAACUGACCGUGAUAGAUAGCUGUAAGAGUUACCCGAGAUAUUGUGGUUGCCUAAACACGCUUUAUAUACACACAAAUGAAACUAUUUUUGUUACGAAGAAAUUUUUUGCCUAGGAAUGCAUUAUUAUUCUAUGAAACUUAUCAGAUUAGGUAUGAAGUGGAAUGUUUUCGCAGCCCCAACGCUUUGAAGUAGACGCGGGGUGUGGUGGCGGCCCCGUCCCGUCCCGCACUCCAUGCUUGUAGUGGCUGUGUAUUAGCAUUUCCAAAAUAAACGGCUAGACCUUA